ACUCAAAGGAAUUGACGGGGACCCGCACAAGCAGCGGAGCAUGUGGUUUAAUUCGAAGCAACGCGAAGAACCUUACCAGGGCUUGACAUCCCUCUGACGUCCCGGAUAACGACGGGAGUUCUUCGGACAGAGGAGACAGGUGGUGCAUGGUUGUCGUCAGCUCGUGUCGUGAGAUGUUGGGUUAAGUCCCGCAACGAGCGCAACCCUUGCUGUUAGUUGCCAUCAUUAAGUUGGGCACUCUAACGGGACUGCCGGGGAUAACUCGGAGGAAGGUGGGGAUGACGUCAAAUCAUCAUGCCCCUUAUGUUCUGGGCUACACACGUGCUACAAUGGUCGGUACAAAGAGUCGCAAGACCGCAAGGUGGAGCCAAUCUCAAAAACCGAUCCCAGUUCGGAUUGCAGGCUGAAACCCGCCUGCAUGAAGCAGGAGUUGCUAGUAAUCGUGAAUCAGAAUGUCACGGUGAAUGCGUUCCCGGGUCUUGCACACACCGCCCGU
rnacentral:rRNA from 1 species